rnacentral:rRNA from 1 species
GUCAGCGGUGAAAUCGGCAGUUUAAGUGUAAAAGCGCCGAUGAUAUUUCGAGUCUAUGAAUUGGGUGGUGUGCCCCAAACCCGGUGUAGAGGUGAUAUGUUUGAGCUCACACACAAAUGUGGAGUGCGAAGUGAGUUCUCCAAGCCAAGAUUAACGUGCGCCACGAAAAUAUUGCGAUCAAAAAAGGAUUAGUAUCCCUGCUCGUCCACACCGUAAUGGAUGAUAAUUCGCUGUAGGCGCUCGACCCUCCGUGGCCAAGGGAAAGCGAUAAGUUAUCCACCUGGGGAGUACGACCGCAAGGUUGAAACUCAAAGGAAUUGAGGAGGGCCCGCACACGCGGAGGAACAUGUGGUUUGAUUCGAUGAUACGCGAGGAACCCUACUCGGGCUCGAACGGUGCAUGAAUGUUCAAGAGAUUGGACAGUCGUUCGGGACAUGUAUCGAGGUGGUGCAUGGUUGUCGUCAGCUCGUGCCGUGAGGUGUCGGCUUAAGUCCCAUAACGAGCGCAACCCUUGUCAUUA